rnacentral:rRNA from 1 species
AUUGAACGCUAGCGGGAUGCCUUACACAUGCAAGUCGAACGGAGUGGCGAACGGGUGAGUAAUGUAUCGGAACGUGCCCAGUAGCGGGGGAUAACUACGCGAAAGCGUAGCUAAUACCGCAUACUAUUGGAGCGGCCGAUAUGGGAUUAGCUAGUUGGUGGGGUAACGGCUUACCAAGGCGACGAUCCGUAGCUGGUUUGAGAGGACGACCAGCCACACUGGGACUGAGACACGGCCCAGACUCCUACGGGAGGCAGCAGUGGGGAAUUUUGGACAAUGGGGGAAAGCCUGAUGCAGCCAUGCCGCGUGUAUGAUGAAGGCCUUCGGGUUGUAAAGCACUUUUAGCAGGAAGGCGGUACCUGCAGAAGAAGCACCGGCUAACUACGUGCCAGCAGCCGCGGUAAUAC